CAAUUUUAAAAGAGUCUACACAUAGAAGAUAAUAAUUGCUAUUAUUUUUACUUAUCUAAAUCUAGGGAAUCAUGAUUGCCAACAAUCACUCAGCACCAACAAUUUACUGAAUGUUUAUCUGCCUGCAUUCUUCUUGUGGCUGGAAAUGUAGCAGUGAACCAGACCGAGACCCUGAUCCGCUGGGUAUAUAGCUGGGGGAGUCAGACAUUCAUGAAAAUGACUUCUAGUGCCACAGAUAUUUCAAAAGAUGCAGUAAAGAGUUCUGUGGGUCUGAAUGAUAUGGUGUGCUAACCAAAUAUGUGAAGGUGGCGAAGGUCUCCUAGAAGAAUUGGUGCAAAACUUGAGUCUCAAAGGAUGAGCUGGGUGAGGAGUUGGGCACAGUAUUCUGGGCAGUGGGAACAUCAUGGACAGAAGCCUGAAUGCAGCGGAGAGACUGACUCACUUGUGGGCAUGAAGGAGAUCAGCAUGACUGGAUUGGAGCUCACUUCCUGGUGUUUUCACCUCAUUGCAUCCCUGGUUGGUUUCUGUUGCUUGCAAUGAAAGAACCCUUACAAAUGCAAUAAUGCAGAAGUAACAAUGAAGAUGACACUGAUUCACACAAGAUUUAAUUUGUUACAUGAGUAAAUAAACAAAGCAAAAUGAACAGAAUUUACUAUACUGCAUCCCUGCUGGGAGUAUGUUGAGCUAUCUGGCCUGGAAGGCCUUUGUGACCUGUUGAAA
rnacentral:lncRNA from 10 species